rnacentral:rRNA from 1 species
GACGAACGCUGGCGGCGUGCUUAACACAUGCAAGUCGAACGGAAAGGCCCUGCUUUUGUGGGGUGCUCGAGUGGCGAACGGGUGAGUAACACGUGAGUAACCUGCCCUUGACUUUGGGAUAACUUCAGGAAACUGGGGCUAAUACCGGAUAGGAGCUCCUGCUGCAUGGUGGGGGUUGGAAAGUUUCGGCGGUUGGGGAUGGACUCGCGGCUUAUCAGCUUGUUGGUGGGGUAGUGGCUUACCAAGGCAUUGACGGGUAGCCGGCCUGGGAGGGUGACCGGCCACAUUGGGACUAAGAUACGGCCCAGACUCCUACGGGAGGCAGCAGUGGGGAAUAUUGCACAAUGGGCGGAAGCCUGAUGCAGCAACGCCGCGUGCGGGAUGACGGCCUUCGGGUUGUAAACCGCUUUCGCCUGUGACGAAGCGUGAGUGACGGUAAUGGGUAAAGAAGCACCGGCUAACUACGUG